AUUUGAAUGACAUUUUGAAUUUGAAAUGUGGACAUUUCAUGAGUCCUCAUAUUUAAAAUAGCUUUAAAUACAUACUAAAGUUUUAUUAAAAAUGUAAAAAUGCAAACAGUUUUGUGUGAUGGGCAUGUUUAGGGAUAGGAAUAGUGUAGGGGGAGAGAAUGUACAGUUUGUAAAGUAUAAAAACCAUUACGCCUAUGGAAUGUCCUCACUAAGAUAACAAACAAACCUGUGUGUGUAUUUACACCACACCCUUGAGACGCUGCAGGACUGUGUUCAGAAGUGUAACGGCGGUGCCAUGGGUGUGGACCUAUAAAUCUAGCGGAUCUCCGCUGUUCACAGCAGUCUGACUAGAGUGUAACGGUCAUCUACUUGACCUCAGCUACAGCAAGAAAGAUGAACAAAAUCAUUUUCGGCUUCUCUGCAGUCGUUCUGUAUUUCGCAGCAGGCCCUGGAGUGUUAUGACUGUAAACUGGGAUUCGGGAGUCUUUGCUUCACAACCAAAACGACAUGUGAUGCUGGUCAGCAGUGCUUCAGUGGAUUAGGGACGGCUGCUGGUGUUGUGGAUAUUAAGAUGAAAGGA